rnacentral:misc_RNA from 1 species
GAUGAAGAACGUAGCGAAAUGCGAUAAGUAAUGUGAAUUGCAGAAUUCAGUGAAUCAUCGAAUCUUUGAACGCACAUUGCGCCCGCCAGUAUUCUGGCGGGCAUGCCUGUUCGAGCGUCAUUUCAACCAUCAAGCCCCCGGCUUGUGUUGGGGACCUGCGGCUGCCGCAGGCCCUGAAAACCAGUGGCGGGCUCGCUAGUCACUCCGAGCGUAGUAAUACAUCUCGCUCAGGGCGUGCCGCGGGUUCCGGCCGUUAAAAAGCCUUAUUUACCCAAGGUUGACCUCGGAUCAGGUAGGAAGACCCGCUGAACUUAAGCAUAUCAAUAAGCGGAGGA